rnacentral:rRNA from 1 species
UACGGAGGAGGCAAGCGUUAUCCGGAAUUAUUGGGCGUAAAGCGUCCGCAGGUGGCACUUCAAGUCUGUCGUCAAAGACUGGGGCUUAACCCUGGAAAGGCGGUGGAAACUGAAGCGCUAGAGUGCGGUAGGGGUAGAGGGAAUUCCCGGUGUAGCGGUGAAAUGCGUAGAGAUCGGGAAGAACAUCGGUGGCGAAAGCGCUCUGCUGGACUGCAACUGACAUUGAGGGACGAAAGCUAGGGGAGCGAAUGGG